UCGUUUUUCCGAAGUCGUUGAUGUUCUGUCUCAACGACUUUUGACGUAGUUUUCAUUAAUUCGUGAAACUUUCGAAGUUUUAUUUGAUUCAAAUAAAUAUAUAUGUAUGAAGAAGGGGUGACUUUUAUGUUGCCAAUUUUGAAACAACGAACUAAUUCAAACGGUGUCAAGUAGAGUGAAAAUAACCAAAAAUCUCAUUGAAAAUACUGUUAUAUUUUCAAAUUGAAUAAUGUGAGAUUUCACAUCUGAAGCAGGUGCCAGAGUUCUCGAAUAAAAUUGGAAAAUUCCCCUCGAUCAUUGUACAUGAAUUGAAAAGCGAAUUACUCUACGUUUUCCCCGAGCUUUCAUUGGCUUUGAUGACCGUUGUGAAUUUUCUCAAUGGCGCAUACACGGCUCAGCUGUGUGCAAUCGCAACCAAUUUACGUAGAAAAAUAAUGUAUUUUAUAGUAUUUUUAUUCAGUUAGACGAAGUACUGGAUACGGUAUUCGUGAUAUUAGGAAACAUGGACUGUCCAUCCAGUAUUGCAACAGUGCAUAAAUUGUGCUUAUGCUAUAUGUAGCCUUUUGCUUUGUAUUGUUUUUGAUGCGUCAAAAAAAAUAUUACAUUUUUGAAGGAAAUUAUUCCUAGCUUUUAAUAGGAGAGAUGGAUGUAGUACGAGAUGAAGACAGGCGCAGGCGCCUGAGGGUGCUGGAAGAACGCGUAAAGGAUCCAAGAAGUAUCACAAACAUUGAUUGCUUGUUGGAUACAGUUCAGGCCCUGGUGGCAGAUUGUGAUCAUCCCAGCGUAAAACGUAUGAAAAACAUAGAAGCAUAUAUGAAUAGAUAUGACUCAGUAGCUCAAGAUAUUUGUAAAAUGCGAAUGCGUACAGACGACUUUACCCUGAUAAAAGUGAUAGGUCGUGGUUCAUUUGGUGAAGUACAAUUAGUAAGACAUAAAUCUACGCAGAAAGUAUAUGCUAUGAAAUUACUCAGUAAAUUUGAAAUGAUCAAGCGAUCAGAUUCAGCCUUUUUUUGGGAAGAACGUGAUAUAAUGGCACAUGCCAAUUCUCAGUGGAUAGUUCAGCUUCAUUUUGCAUUUCAAGAUCAAAAAUAUCUUUACAUGGUGAUGGAUUACAUGCCAGGUGGUGAUUUAGUGAAUUUAAUGUCAAAUUAUGACGUGCCAGAAAAAUGGGCAAAAUUUUAUUGUGCAGAAGUGGUGCUUGCAUUAGAUGCAAUACAUCUUAUGGGAUUUGUUCAUAGAGAUGUAAAGCCAGAUAAUAUGUUACUUGAUAAGUAUGGUCAUUUAAAACUCGCAGAUUUUGGCACUUGUAUGAGAAUGGAUGCUGAUGGUCUUGUUCGAUCUGAUACUGCAGUAGGUACACCUGAUUAUAUAUCACCUGAGGUGCUUCAGUCUCAAGGUGGUGAAGGUGUAUAUGGAAGAGAAUGUGAUUGGUGGUCAGUUGGUGUAUUUUUAUAUGAAAUGCUUGUUGGUGAUACUCCGUUUUAUGCAGAUUCAUUAGUUGGAACAUAUUCAAAAAUUAUGGAUCAUAGAAAUUCAUUACAUUUUCCACAAGAAGUUGAUAUUUCUCAUUCUGCCAAGAAUUUGAUAUGUGGUUUUCUUACGGAUAGAACUAAACGUUUGGGUAGAAAUGGCGUGGAAGAAAUAAAAAAUCAUCCUUUCUUUAAAAACGAUCAGUGGACAUUUGAAAAUUUACGAGAAUGUGUGCCUCCUGUCGUGCCAGAACUUUCCGGCGAUGAUGAUACUAGCAAUUUUGAGGAUGUUGAUAAAGAAGAUGGACCAGAGGAAAGUUUUCCGAUACCAAAAGCAUUUUCUGGAAACCAUUUACCUUUUAUUGGUUUUACAUAUUCAGAAGAUUAUCAAUUAAUGGCUUCUAGCGGCAAGGAGUCGGUAGAUGGAUUAGAAAAUCAUAUCAAUAAUGGUACAAGCGAUGAUAUUAAAAUUUCUCAAUUAGAAAACUUAUUGGAUAAAGAAAAGAGACAGGUAGAAUCUUUAGAAUCAAGGCAGAAAGCUUUAACAACACGAUUAGAAGCUAUGGCACGCCGGGAAACCGAAUUGCGUGAAGAAAUAGGUAGAGCGGACAAAGAAUUGACUUUGUUGAGGCAUAAUUACAAAGAAGCACAACGUAGGGUGGAGCAUGAAACUGAGUCGCGUAGAAAAGCGGAGUCAUUAAUUGUGGAGUUGAAAAAGAAGUAUGAUGAAGAGCAGACGAAACGAGCACGUGAUGCAAGUAAUUCACAACAAACUUCUGAACGUGUAACAAGCUUAGAAAAACAAAUUAAAGAAAUGCAAUCGAAAUUGGAAAGAGAAACAGAAAUGGUAACGAGGUUACGGAAACAAGCUACUGAGAUUACUGUUGCUCGUCAAGCUGCAGAACAAAUGGCAAAUGAACUACAAGUGGAAAGAGCGAAAUUACAAGCGCAACGAGAUAAUUUACAGCAAGAAGUGGCUACAUUACAAGGACAAUUGUCGAAAGAGCGUAGUUCUCGAUCACAAGCCUCAUCGUUAACUGCUGAAUUAGAAAGCCGACUCUCUGCUCUUCAUGUCGAACUCGAACAUAGUCGAGAGAAAGAGGAGAAAGCAAUCAUGGAUAAUAGACAACUAACUGAAAAAAUCUCAGCAUUGGAAAAAGAAGCAGCAAGUUUAACUCUUGAAUUAAAAGCUGCGCAAGCCAGGUAUAAUCAGGAAGUGGUAGCCCAUCAAGAAACGGAACGUUCACGCAUACUAUCCAAAGAAGAAGCUAAUUUAGAAGUAGUUAAAGCAUUACAAGCAAAAUUAAAUGAAGAAAAAAGUGGGAGGCAACGUGCUGAAUUACUUGCACAAGAAAAGGAAAGACAAACCUCUAUGCUCUCUGUGGAUUAUCGACAGAUUCAACAGCGAUUACAGAAACUGGAAGGAGAACAUAGGCAAGAAGUUGAAAAGGUAAAAGUGCUACAAGGUCAGGUCGAACAAGAACAGCAGAAAAGAAACAUUCUGCAGACUGACUUGGCACAGCAGUCGUCCGAAGCAGGACGAUUACGUGCCAGGGAACAACAAUUAGCUGGCGAAGUUGCUCAGCUAAGAGAAGCAAAACGUCAAAUAGAGGAUGAAUUACAUCACUUGAAAACUCAAAGAAAUGUGGAUCAACUACAAACUAAGGAAUUACAAGAACAAUUAGAAGCAGAAGCUUACUUUUCGACACUUUAUAAAACACAGACGCAAGAACUUCGGGAAGAACUUGAUGAAAAAAUACGUUUACAACAAGAAUUAGAAGAAGAACGUAGCUCUUUAGUGCAUCAGUUACAAUUAUCUCUAGCGAGAGGCGAUAGUGAAGCUUUGGCAAGAUCAAUAGCUGAAGAAACUGUCGCUGACCUCGAAAAGGAACGAACAAUGAAGGAAUUAGAAUAUAAAGAUGGAGUAGCCAAACAUCACCAAGAAUUGAAUGCAAAAGAACAAAUUAUAAAUCGGCUUAAGGAUAGCGAAGGUGAACUUAAGAAAAAUGUUGAUCAAUAUCUUAAAGAAAAGGAAGAUUUAAAUAAACGGUUUAAAGAAUUGCAAGAUCAACUUUCUAAAGCACAGUCUAAUGGUGAAGAAAUAGAAAAACUGAGCAGUAAAUUGAAAACUGAGCAAUUAUUGAAACAACAAGCAGUUAAUAAGUUAGCAGAGAUUAUGAACAGAAAAGAUUUGUCUUCAAGUGGUAAAUCCAAGAAUAAAGCUUCUGCAGCAGAUUUAAGAAAGAAGGAGAAAGAUUGCAGGCGUUUACAACAAGAGCUUACUCAAGAGAGAGAAAAAUACGGACAGUUAACGGCUAAAUGGCAAAAAGAUUUGCAAGAUUUACAAGCACAAUUAGUGGAAGAAAAUCAAGCGAAAUUGAGGUUACAAAUGGAACUUGAUUCGAAAGAUUCCGAAAUAGAAACAUUACAAAUGAAAAUUGCUUCGCUCAACUCAGAAACCGCUAGCGUUUCGUCCGUAGAAAAUGACGGAGAAGAUUCUGUUUUAUCGGAACAUGGAACCAUGCGAUUGGAAGGUUGGUUAAAUGUGCCAAAUAAACAGAACAUUAAAAGGCAUGGAUGGAAAAAACAAUACGUUGUCGUUUCUUCGAAGAAAAUAAUAUUUUAUAAUAGUGAAAAUGAUAAAUUAAAUGCCGAUCCAGUCUUGAUAUUGGACCUAAAUAAAGUCUUCCACGUUAGAUCUGUUACUCAGGGUGAUGUCAUCCGAGCUGAUGCCAAAGAUAUUCCGAGAAUUUUCCAGUUAUUAUAUGCUGGUGAAGGCGAAGCAAGACGUCCUGGUGAUGAAGGAAACACACUGCCUGGAGUGGAACUGCCACAACUUACGGACAAACCAGGCACGCAAUCGUUAAAAGGUCACGAAUUUGUGUCAAUAUCGUAUCAUAUGCCGACUACUUGCGAAGUAUGCUCAAAACAAUUGUGGCAUAUGUUUCGACCGCCACCAGCUCUCGAGUGCCGAAGGUGUCGUAUAAAAGUUCAUAAGGAGCAUUUGGACAAAAAGGAAGAUGCCAUAGCACCCUGCAAAUUACACUACGAUCCAAACAGUGCUCGUGAAUUAUUAAUAUUGGCUGGUAGUCCUGACGAACAGAAAUAUUGGGUCGCAAGACUGUCCAGACGUGUACAAAAAUGUGGCUACAAAGCAAACUCGCACGUCGAUGGCACGGGGCAACGUGUCUCGCCAAGGUAGCGUAGCGGUGCGACUCAACGUAACCGGAGACUAAGUAGCUCUCUUGUAUUGUGGCAUCGCAUGAUUGGGUGUAGCGAGAGAGUCUACGAGAUCCACCUUGAAGCCAUAUUUAUCGGUGCAACAACGAUCCGCGACUCUACCAGCAAAUGCCAGCAUGGGCAAGUGACCUUAGCUAGUGUCGAUAAUACUCGAUUGGAGUUCGUUGCUUCGACGUCCUUCUCAAUCGAUCUAUUUAAAACAUAUAAAUUCAAUCAGUUGGUCAGACAAAUGAUUUGCAAUGAGAUUCAAAUAUGCGAAAAUAAUUCUCGACAUUCUAUGUUAUCUGGAAAAUAUCUCGAGACACCUGGAGUUCAUGUAUCUUAAAAACAUCCGCCGAUCUGAAUGCACAGAGAAACAUGUCAUUAUCAACUUUUUGACGAAUGCGAGGAUUCUCCACAAAAUCGUUCGUUGACAUUUUUACUUGUAUUGAUCGUUAUUUGUAGGUACAUGUUCGUUAAACGAAUCAAACGUGCCUUUAAUAUAUACUGACGAUGAUGGAACUCGAAUGAUCUAAAGGAAAUUGAAGAAACAAGACGCUCAUCAGGAAAUGUUAUAAGAUGAAAGUUUUCAGGAGGGGGAAACGAGGCGAGUAAUAAGUGGGAGUGUGCAGCUGUUAUUAACAAGACGAAGUAAUGAUAAUAGUGUUUAUAUAAAUGAAUAUAGUGAUCGUAACGAAUUUGAGUAUGUGGGCCGCGUUUCUCGGAUUUAUCAAACUACAGCGUUAUGUUCGAUAUCGUAUUCGACGAGCAAGUUUGCCAAUGAUUUGCAUAGUGUCAUCAAGAGACCAUCAUCGCGCAUUGUUUUAUGAAUAUUUUUCGUACGUGCGAAUGGAUGGAUUUUUAUGUUGAUUUAUUUUUUCCGUGAAUGCUUCAAUUCAAAGAUGAUUUCCUUGUACAUAAAUUACGGCCGUAAGAACUGCUUCUCAGUUGUUUAAGCAGCUCGUUCAUUGACCUUUGCAACGAUAUUGUGAAAUUGGUGGACAUUAAUUAUAAUGCUUUAGCAAAAAAAAAAGAAGAAAAAAAAAUUGUUGUUUGUGCGAUAUAUAUAAUAUUCUCCGGUCAUUAGCGAUUACUUAAAGGUGAGAACUUUGAGAACUCGAUAAUAUUGUGUAUUUACUACGCCGGAUUGAUAGUAUUAUUAUUUUUAUACGUUUUGAGAUUAAUGUAUAUCGAUAUUUAAUUACGUUAAGAAGAGAAGGAGUGAAAUUGAUUUUUACGUAGAAGUACGCUAAUCAGCUGGCUAGAGCGGCUGCCAAAGUUUUUUUCUUCUGGUAUGAGAAACGCAGUUAUUAUGUUUAAUCGAAUCAUCGGGAAAUGCGUCGGUAGAUACAUAUAAACGUGAGAUAAUGAAUAUUGGAAAUACUUCAUCACAGAAUUAUUAAUGGGAGAUACAUUAUUUAAAUUUUGAAAUUGAUAGUCUUGGAAUAUCUGAGAUUUUUAAAUUAUCACGAACACAUUUUUAGAAUCUUGGAAGAACCUUCUACAUCUUUUUGUUUUCUUGCUUUCUUUUUCAAAAUUAUUAUUGUAUUUAUUGGUUCAAAAUUCUUGUUAUAAAUCUUCAAUUCAUAUUUUCGAAGACCUUUCAAGAUUCAACAGGCGCUCUGUAUAUUUUGUGAAUUUUCGUUUCUGUUCUGCCAUGUAUUCAUUAGAAUAUGAAUGCAUAUUGCCACCAAGCAAUAAAGUAAGGGUGAAAUUGUAAGAGGGGGAGAAAAAGUUAAAUUUUAGAACAAGCACAAUGGUAAAAUAUUAAGGAAUACCGCCACGAACGAGCUUCAUUGUAUAAUAGGAAUACGAUAUUUACAAUUGUAAGAUAAGAAUUUUUUAAUACGAUGUACGAUAUAUCCGCUACAGAUUGCUGAAAGGAUGGGCGAUAUGAAACACUGAAAAAAAGCGCAAAAUCGCGCAUGUAGUCGAGAGAGGCUUAGGAACAAUGCUAAAAAAAUUGGUGCCGAGUAAAAAAAGAUUUGUACGAGGAGCAACAGAGGCAUCAAGAUGAAGAAAAAAGGAAAAAAGUGUAAUGAGCUAAUGAAAAUUAUUGUUAUUAUUAUCAUCAUCAACAUCAUCGUCGCCAUCAUCAUCAUCAUCAUCAUCCUCAUCAUCCUCAUCAUCGUCGUCAUCCUCAUCAUCCGCAUCAUCCGCAUCAUCACAUCAUCAUCAUCAUCAUCAUCAUCAUUACUAUUAAAAAAUCAUUGUCGCCGUUUGUGUUCUAUCCACGGUGUACCUCAGUGACGUGUGCGUAUAUUCAUCACAUUGGUCCGGGUCGAGAGAAAAAUGAAAUUUCUCGGUCGCUUUACAAAACUUGUCCCGACUCUUCUUAGGUAGGUUGCAACAUCUUUCUUUCCAUCUGAGACGUCCUUUUAUAUGGUACUUUUCGCGCCUUUUUUCUUCAUCCUCCCUUUUCUUAGCUGCCUUUUCCUUUUAUUCUUCUUUUGACACUCUGCUUUCAUUUAGUUUUCGAGUUUCCAAGAGAUAAAGGAAGCUCAGUAUGUAUGUGACGUCAUCCGUUGAUUUAUUAAGAAGAUGUGAAAGAGCUAGAUAUACGCAAACGAUUAUGAAAGUAGGAAGCCCGCGUUUUUAAUUAAAUUAGCCUGUGUAUUUUACUCUGCUCCACCUGCCUGUUGGACUAUUUUUUUAUAGACUGGAAAAGAAUUUUCGACAACGCGAGAUAUAAAAUAUGGAGAGAGAGAGAGAGAUGGGGGAGAGAGAGAGAGAGAGAGAGAGAGAGAAAGAGAGAGAGAGAGAGAUGGGGAGAGAGAGAGAGAGAGAGAGAGACAGAGAGAUGGGGAGAGAGAGAGAGAGACAGACAGGCAGACAGACACGGAUAGACAGAUAGAUAGGUAGAGAAGCAAGAAGAAGUGAAAAAAACUUGUUACAGCAUAUUUUAUUAUUGUUUAGUUAUUUACAAGCUGUAUAUUAUUAAUUAAUAUUACGAUUAAAGUAUUUUGUAGAUAAAACGCGAGUUUACGUAGACGUUUUCCAACAUCACCGAACAAUGAAUUUAAUCUCAUUGUCGAAUAGAUUAGAUGUUUCUAAAUAUGUAUUUGAUCUUCUCUAUCCUACGAUAAGGUAAGAAAUGGCAUAUAAAAGAGAACGAAUUCUUCAUAUAUUUUUUUCUUUCCCUUUCUUGUCUUGUUGAAAUAAAGAUACCUCAUCUGGAGCACCGUUUGUAGAUUAUUACGGAUGUGCAAAAAUCUUUGAGUGAUAAAUUUGAUCGAAUGUCAUUAUUGUUAAUACAAUAGCGAGUAUCGAGCUUUGUGUAAAACCUUCUUCUAUAUCUCUUUUGCGUACUGCGUACAAUUUUCUAUAUACAUGUGUAUAUGUUAAAUCUUUAUGACUUUAUUUUACCUGUAAUCAAAAUUUCGAGAUAGACCGUUUUACAAUGUAAUCUAUCUUUGUUUCCUAUGCAAACAGCAACCAGUUAAUACAUGUACGUCGAGUCAUUUCGAGUUCGAAUAUUUCCUAAUGAAUUUAGAAAAGAUCGUUUGUGGAUAUUUAAUUCGUAGCAAAUUAAUUUUAACCAUAAUUUACAUUAAAUGAGAAUUUCUUUAAUAUUAUUUCUUCGAAAAGAUGCAUGCAGUUAGCUUCGUAGUUGCUUCUCUCAACUCUCAUUGAAUUUCGCAAAUCUAAUUCCUGAUCAUGUUUCAAGUUUCUAAGGAUACUUGAUCUUUGAUUAGAACACUAUCGAUUAGUGGCCUUUACUUGCUUACAAUACGCGAAGAAAGCAAAGUGAUGUCUCGGCUUCACUUUGUCGACCCUUCACGACGAAAGGGUUCUUCUUGCAGAGUGAAUACGCGUCGACGACCCUCUAAUUAUUCCUCGAGAUCGACAAUUUGAUCGUCAUCGCGUUUUUUUCACAAACGAUUGUUACGCAAUCGGGAAGAGCAUUUUUACAUUUUGAUUGCACUUUUCGAUACAAGCCUUGAAAACUGCCGUGCUCUCUGUACCGUUUUCGUCACAUUGUAAUCAAAAUAAUCAUUGUAAUUACAUUUCCAUUUGUAUUUUACAGUUCUCUGAAAUUGUUCGAAACGCGAUACGUAUUAGACUGGUGCAAAAUCCGAAUAGAAGUUUUUGUUUGUAAGGGGCGUAAAAGGCGCUUUAAGUCAGCAAAUUUUGUUCUCUUUCUCUCUAAGUAGUUAUUAGAGAAUUUAGAAAAAAUGGAAAAGUGUAAUUUCUUUUAAUUUAGAAAAAUCAUUUUAGAUUCUCAUAUUGUCAGUUUCAAAGGGGUGAAUAACAUCGUGUUGUUCCUCGGAGAUCAAACGUUCUGUCAUUUAUUUGUCGUUUACUUGUUCGCUUAUAAUAAUUUUUCAUAUCUCUGUUAAGUAAUUCACGCAAGGCUAGCGUAAAUAUGAAAGAACGUCGAAAUUCGAUAGGUAAUGCAUACGUUCUGUGUUCUCUUUAAUAAACUUACUGUACCUGGUUA